GGGAAUAGUACAUGAGGAAAAGCCGGUCAAGAAGAUGAAUCCGCCAUUGUUGAGAAUUUUCCAGAAAAUCGAAGAGCACUUGUGCAGCUGGAUUGCACAUUAACAGAAGAUCUUUCGAUGAAAACCUGCAUGAACACUACACUAAGAAGCAAACGGGCGAAGUUACUGUAUGUAUUGUGUUUGCAUUGGAGCGAAAACAGGUGAUUUAGCUGAGGCUUUUGUUUCGACAUUCCGCGCACCUGCUUGGCGGCAAAGCUCAACAUGCGGUGUUAUCUAUACAUGUGAUCAACCACCGAUCUAAGCGCUCAAGAUUACUAACAUUGAAAGCAUUUUGUGAUAUUUCUACGUGUUAUAUUCCGACAUAAUCAAUCAUGUUCAUCGAAACUCUUGAAUUCACAAUUCCUGUGGAAUUGUGUAAUGUUUUUUCAACUCUUCAGAAGGGACAGAGGUCAAACGUAGAGUUUCCGGCAUCCGUGAACUCAUACGGCACAACGCAAGAUGCCAGUGUGCAGGUUGUGUUGCGCUCAAACAAACUAACGUUCAAAGUGGACGGUGUGUCGUCAAAUGCUAGCAUGAUAUCAAAGAGUGAAUGUAAGACAUUAAAACUCUCUGUGUUUGAUGUGGACCGCACAUUAAUGCCUCAAGAAAAUGACAAUUACGAUUCAAAUAAUAUGUCCGCAAUGCAGCAUUCUACACCUGUGUCAUUUCCAUCCAAGAGACAUCAAGAAAUAUCAGUGUCACAACCACCUGCUAAAAAUCGUAGGACUUCUUUUUCUGAGUCUCCAAGACCCAGAUCUCCACUUCAUCGUCGCUCACAACCUCAAAUCAGUCCACGUCCAUCUCAAAACACACAAUCAAAAUCCAAAAAUGACUCUCCAGUGAAUGUGAAACAAGAACCAGAAGAUCCAGAUUUAAUAGAAAUAGAACUAGACCAUGAUCCCGAUGAUGUUGUGCCAAAGAAAGAGACUCCAUACAUGCAAAUAGAUUAUUCAUCAGAUGUACCUCAUACGCAAACGUCCCAAGCAGCUCUAGAUCGACUCUCUCAUCCACAAUCAUCCCAUUCUCAAUCACCCGGUUCUUCAUCAUCGUCCUUCCAUCAAAACGUUCCACAUGUGCCAGAUUACGCCGAACCCAGUACUAGUCAAGUUCAUCAUGGUGACCAAAGUGCAGAUGACUUUUUAGUGUUUCAAGAACAAGACGAAGAUUGUGAUGACAACGAUGCUGAUUAUGGAAAUGAUGAUAUUGGAGGACAGAGUAUAAGCCAGGCAGAGUAUUCAGUAGGUCUGCUCAGAGAGAGAAUCUGGAAGCCGGGUGGAUUUCUUGGACAUUCGUCAACUCCUGUUGUUGGUGAAGGCCUCGCUAUGCGUGUUAAUCCAUUUGAUAGUUCAUCAUCUGCUGUUGUUGCCGAAGGCCUUGCUAUGCGUGUUAAUGCCUUUGAUGGUUCAUUCCUUGGCAAAGAUGGCGAUUUGUCGAGUCAGGUGAAGGCAAUCCGAAAUUCCACCUGUGAUGAAUGUGGCAAGAUUUUUGCAGAUUCCAAAUCAAAGUCAAACCACAAACGGGCAGUGCAUGAUAAGCGACCAUUUUCUUGUGUCUGCGGCAAGGAGUAUAAGUACAUGACAGGACUAAGGAUGCAUAAGAAGAAAUGUGCUUGUGCUAAGAUGAUGAGAGAUGACAAUGACUGAGCAGCUGCAAGAGUGAGGAUCGUUACCUUCUUUUGAUAAUGUCGCUUCUUGGGAGAUGACAGUAAUCCUGUUGUCUAGGGUUUAGUGCACUGCAAGAGUGAGGAUCGUUACCUUCUUUUGAUAAUGUCGCUUCUUUGGAGAUGACAGUAAUCCUGAUGUCUAGGGUUUAGUGCACUGCAAGAGUGAGGAUCAUUACUUCAAAUUGAAAAUAUCGCUUCUUUAGAGAUGACAGUAAUCCUGUUGUCUAGGGUUUAGUGCACUGGAUGAGUGAGGAACGUUACUUCAAAUUGAAAAUAUCGCUUCUUCAGAGAUGACAGUAAUCUUGUUGUCUAGGGUUUAGUGCACUGGAUGAGGGAGGAACGUUACUUCAAAUUGAAAAUAUCGCUUCUUCAGAGACGACAGUAAUCUUGUUGUCUUGGGUUUAGAUGGACUGCCUGUAUUCUUUUCAAUGUACUUUGAAAAUUAUCUGACCUUGUUCAUGUAUGCUUUUGGAAUUCUUCAGUACUUUUCUUGGGAUUUUUAUGGGUAUUUAAAAGCAAAUCUGUCCUGAAACUGUUUUGACUUUUUGUGUGGCAAGUUUUCCGAUGAAGUUACUUCCGAUGUCAGGCUUGGAGAAUUGUAGAUUGUUGUUGGAACAGAACCAGCAAGCCUUCAUGCCAUGUGUAUUUGGAUGGAUGAUCGGUACUUGGUAGCAUAUGUACUGCAGUAAUUUAAUGAUGACUUUUGUGUUGCAUUGGAUGAUACUGUUGUAUUCGAGAGAUGAAAAAAUCCAAAACAUUUUAUGCAAGGUCUAAGACUCAGGAGACUUUGGUGACAAUUGCCAUACAGCGUCUGAAGAUACAAAAUACCAAGGGUGUCAUUUGUACUGGGAUGCCAUUCUCUUUGAUGGCAUUUGUAUCAAACGAUAAGAAGAUCUUAAGAAGCCAGACAGUUCAGUGACUUGUUUUGAGGUCUGAAGGCACGACACUGACGUGCCAGUGUAUUGAGAUCUAAAGAUGUCUUUUGUACAAGAGAGACGAUGAUGACUGCUGCACCUCAUGUCCUUUGUGUUACAGAGUUUCUAUGAACCCACAUCAGCACUUAACUGACAGUGUUGUCCAGCCAUGGCCUUAUAGACAGGCUUUCAUGAAACAGUCGGGUUCUGAUCCGUGUGGCGCUCUCCCCUUCUCUAUCAACCUGGCUGACAAUUCUCUCGUUCACAUUUUCCCGUCAGUCAAACAGGGUGAUAAACCUGAGAGGAAAGCAUUCAUAUGUGACCAGUGUGGCAAAGCGUUUGGUGAUGCAAAGGCGCGGAAGACGCAUGCUGAGGCCGUGCACGACAAUCUCACCUUUCAGUGCCAUUGUGGCAAAGUCUAUAAGUACCGACCUGGUUUACUCAGGCACAAGAAGUCAUGCAUAUUAUCUACACAGACAGCCAGACAUAAUCCUUGUGGUGAUGGGAACUGAUUGAUAUGGUGAACCUGAUCAGUUACAUUUUAUCGUAUUCAUGUCUUCUUCAUCGUGCAAUGCAACUCAAUUUGCUGUUCAAAGUUGCUUCAGAAAAUGGCUCAUUCAGGGACGUCUGAAACCUACCGUAUGAUUGUGGGUUCCAUUCCCUGGUUCAUAGUUAUUAUGUUUCUAGGUUUGCCCACUCCGUACCAGAGCUGGUGGGUUUCACCAAAGUUGUAACUGUCCUCCAUCACUUUCGGCUCUCCUCCCACACUGUGCUGAUAUGCCAUGAUGUAACUGAAAGAAACUCAAGGAAGUUUCAAGCCAAACUCAAUACCCUAAUCCAACAUUCUUUGAGUUUUUUAGAGGGGACACCGGUCUGAAGCGAAUCUGAUAGAAAUCUGCCUCUGAUUAUUUUCCCAGUCCGCUGCCUGUAUGAUGUUAAACAUAAAUUGGAAGAAAUAGUUUCACUUCCACACUUUUCAAUGGCACGAUCGAUGACAGUGAUCAGCGAUGCUUGUUGAGCAUUGAUUAACUAUUCUGCAUGAACAGAGUAAGAUACAUUCUGUUUACAGACUUUCAAACACAUCAAGGCCAUUCAUUUUUUUAGUUGGUUUACAGAGUUUUUGUUUUUGAACAUUGAAUGUUGGUGGUCGAAAAAAUGAUGAAAAUAAUAUUGUCUUUGAAUGAAUGUGUUGGUGAUAGAAAUAGAAUAUUAUGAAAAGUCUUAAAUAACUUUUUGAAUUUCUGCAACUCGACUGCACUCACGAGGUAUGUGAAUGCUGCCAUUUCCCCACCCAAACAACUGCAGCUGAAUAUGUCAUAUCUAAUGGCUGCAACUCUUUUCGCUCUACAUAGCUUUUAACUAUGCGGUAAACACUUUGCUAUGUAUUUUAACUCUAAUUUUGAGUGAUGUUUCAUGUUUAUUUAUUUUUUUUAUUAAUUUAUUCAUACUAUUAGAGUUGGCAGUAUUUUUUUAAUACCAUUUUAAUCUUAUUUUGUCAUAUGAUCUCUUGCUUCCAUGAAAUGAAUAGCAGGAAAUGCCAAAUAAGGCAUAUUCAAAUGAGACAGGUCAGGUGAUCUGACGAAGUCAUAGUGCAUUUUUACAGUAGUUUGGAUGGGCAAUCAAUGUUUGAAAUAAGUUUAAAACUUAAAAAGACAGUCGGGCUCGUGACCCAUAAGUGUUGUCUUCCCAUCUUCAAAGUUAUUAGUAUUGAAAAAUCGCAAAAGAAUAUACGAGACUUAUUGCAUCUUGAUUCAGUUGAAAUAAUGCGCACAAUUACUUGAAAAUCCCCAAGGAGUUAUAAUAAAGCUGAAUAUAUUAGCAGUCUCAUAAUGUUCUGCCAGACAGUAGGGCAGGUGGAGGAAAUGUUCUGCAGGCGGGCAGACGGCAGGGCAGACGGCAGAGGGCAGGGCAGGGGAGGGCAGGGCAGUUAUUUUGGACACUUGUGGGCAAUGGAUAGUGGCCAUCAUUCUCCUAUGGGAGUAUUGGUUAGAUGUGUGAUUAUAAUUUUGCAAUAGGGAUUUUUGACUUUUGCUGAUCAUGUCUUGUUUCUUCUUCGAUGUGACUGUUAAAAGCUGGAGAAUUAUCUCCCUUUGCAUGUUUUGAUUUUGACUACCGUAUUCGACAUAUUAAGCGCCCAUGGAUAUUUGCUAAUAUAUUAGCUGGUGAACAAUCCCAAUUAGCACCCCUUCCGAUUGAUC